rnacentral:rRNA from 1 species
UGGGGAAUCUUGCGCAAUGGGCGAAAGCCUGACGCAGCGACGCCGCGUGAGCGAUGAAGGCCUUCGGGUUGUAAAGCUCUGUGGGGAGGGAAGAAUAAGGUUUGGCUAAUAUCCAAGCCGAUGACGGUACCUCCUUAGCAAGCACCGGCUAACUCUGUGCCAGCAGCCGCGGUAAGACAGAGGGUGCAAACGUUGUUCGGAAUUACUGGGCGUAAAGCGCGUGUAGGCGGCCAUCUAAGUCGGGCGUGAAAUCCCACGGCUCAACCGUGGAAGUGCACUCGAAACUGGAUGGCUAGAGUCCUGGAGAGGAAGGUGGAAUGCUUGGUGUAGAGGUGAAAUUCGUAGAUAUCAAGCGGAACACCGGUGGCGAAGGCGGCCUUCUGGACAGUGACUGACGCUG